UACGGAGGGAGCUAGCGUUGUUCGGAAUUACUGGGCGUAAAGCGCACGUAGGCGGCUUUGUAAGUUAGAGGUGAAAGCCCGGGGCUCAACCCCGGAACUGCCUUUAAGACUGCAUCGCUUGAAUCCAGGAGAGGUGAGUGGAAUUCCGAGUGUAGAGGUGAAAUUCGUAGAUAUUCGGAAGAACACCAGUGGCGAAGGCGGCUCACUGGACCUGUACUGACGCUCAUGCACGAAAGCGUGGGGAGCAAACAGG
rnacentral:rRNA from 1 species